rnacentral:rRNA from 1 species
CUCAGUUCGGAUCGGAGUCUGCAACCCGACUCCGUGAAGCUGGAUUCGCUAGUAAUCGCGCAUCAGCCAUGGCGCGGUGAAUACGUUCCCGGGCCUUGUACACACCGCCCGUCAAGCCAUGGAAGCCGGGGAGUGCCUGAAGUAUGCAACCGCAAGGAGCGUCCUAAGGUAAAACCGGUGACUGGGGCUAAGUCGUAACAAGGUAUC